UAAAGGGUAGAAUGGCCUUGUCGGAGGUCGU
rnacentral:piRNA from 1 species